UUAGUUCCAUCAGGGUAAUAGCCAGAACCCUGUAACUAAGUAGCAGGAGGGAAGGAAACUGAACUCCCGAAGCCUACAGAUAAAGCCAUGUAAAGCAUGGUUAGUGGGUUACCAGGCCGUAAUAUUCAUGAACGCAGAAGUAGCCUCGUAAGUAAGUUAAUGUCCAAUGGCCGAGCCUUUAUAGUUCAGGCGAAGGCAAUAUGUCUCUCCGAAAUUGGCUGACACAGGAAACGACACAUUGGCGGGGUGAUAGCGAC
rfam:Chitinophaga sancti strain DSM 784 genome assembly, contig: LX65DRAFT_scaffold00032.32